AUAAUGGGUCAGCGACUUAUAUUCUGUAGCAAGGUUAACCGAAUAGGGGAGCCGAAGGGAAACCGAGUCUUAACUGGGCGUUAAGUUGCAGGGUAUAGACCCGAAACCCGGUGAUCUAGCCAUGGGCAGGUUGAAGGUUGGGUAACACUAACUGGAGGACCGAACCGACUAAUGUUGAAAAAUUAGCGGAUGACUUGUGGCUGGGGGUGAAAGGCCAAUCAAACCGGGAGAUAGCUGGUUCUCCCCGAAAGCUAUUUAGGUAGCGCCUCGUGAAUUCAUCUCCGGGGGUAGAGCACUGUUUCGGCAAGGGGGUCAUCCCGACUUACCAACCCGAUGCAAACUGCGAAUACCGGAGAAUGUUAUCACGGGAGACACACGGCGGGUGCUAACGUCCGUCGUGAAGAGGGAAACAACCCAGACCGCCAGCUAAGGUCCCAAAGUCAUGGUUAAGUGGGAAACGAUGUGGGAAGGCCCAGACAGCCAGGAUGUUGGCUUAGAAGCAGCCAUCAUUUAAAGAAAGCGUAAUAGCUCACUGGUCGAGUCGGCCUGCGCGGAAGAUGUAACGGGGCUAAACCAUGCACCGAAGCUGCGGCAGCGACGCUGAUGCGUUGUUGGGUAGGGGAGCGUUCUGUAAGCCUGUGAAGGUGUGCUGUGAGGCAUGCUGGAGGUAUCAGAAGUGCGAAUGCUGACAUAAGUAACGAUAAAGCGGGUGAAAAGCCCGCUCGCCGGAAGACCAAGGGUUCCUGUCCAACGUUAAUCGGGGCAGGGUGAGUCGACCCCUAAGGCGAGGCCGAAAGGCGUAGUCGAUGGGAAACAGGUUAAUAUUCCUGUACUUGGUGUUACUGCGAAGGGGGGACGGAGAAGGCUAUGUUGGCCGGGCGACGGUUGUCCCGGUUUAAGCGUGUAGGCUGGUUUUCCAGGCAAAUCCGGAAAACUAAGGCUGAGGCGUGAUGACGAGGCACUACGGUGCUGAAGCAACAAAUGCCCUGCUUCCAGGAAAAGCCUCUAAGCAUCAGGUAACAUCAAAUCGUACCCCAAACCGACACAGGUGGUCAGGUAGAGAAUACCAAGGCGCUUGAGAGAACUCGGGUGAAGGAACUAGGCAAAAUGGUGCCGUAACUUCGGGAGAAGGCACGCUGAUAUGUAGGUGAAGUCCCUCGCGGAUGGAGCUGAAAUCAGUCGAAGAUACCAGCUGGCUGCAACUGUUUAUUAAAAACACAGCACUGUGCAAACACGAAAGUGGACGUAUACGGUGUGACGCCUGCCCGGUGCCGGAAGGUUAAUUGAUGGGGUCAGCGCAAGCGAAGCUCUUGAUCGAAGCCCCGGUAAACGGCGGCCGUAACUAUAACGGUCCUAAGGUAGCGAAAUUCCUUGUCGGGUAAGUUCCGACCUGCACGAAUGGCGUAAUGAUGGCCAGGCUGUCUCCACCCGAGACUCAGUGAAAUUGAACUCGCUGUGAAGAUGCAGUGUACCCGCGGCAAGACGGAAAGACCCCGUGAACCUUUACUAUAGCUUGACACUGAACAUUGAGCCUUGAUGUGUAGGAUAGGUGGGAGGCUUUGAAGUGUGGACGCCAGUCUGCAUGGAGCCGACCUUGAAAUACCACCCUUUAAUGUUUGAUGUUCUAACGUUGACCCGUAAUCCGGGUUGCGGACAGUGUCUGGUGGGUAGUUUGACUGGGGCGGUCUCCUCCUAAAGAGUAACGGAGGAGCACGAAGGUUGGCUAAUCCUGGUCGGACAUCAGGAGGUUAGUGCAAUGGCAUAAGCCAGCUUGACUGCGAGCGUGACGGCGCGAGCAGGUGCGAAAGCAGGUCAUAGUGAUCCGGUGGUUCUGAAUGGAAGGGCCAUCGCUCAACGGAUAAAAGGUACUCCGGGGAUAACAGGCUGAUACCGCCCAAGAGUUCAUAUCGACGGCGGUGUUUGGCACCUCGAUGUCGGCUCAUCACAUCCUGGGGCUGAAGUAGGUCCCAAGGGUAUGGCUGUUCGCCAUUUAAAGUGGUACGCGAGCUGGGUUUAGAACGUCGUGAGACAGUUCGGUCCCUAUCUGCCGUGGGCGCUGGAGAACUGAGGGGGGCUGCUCCUAGUACGAGAGGACCGGAGUGGACGCAUCACUGGUGUUCGGGUUGUCAUGCCAAUGGCACUGCCCGGUAGCUAAAUGCGGAAGAGAUAAGUGCUGAAAGCAUCUAAGCACGAAACUUGCCCCGAGAUGAGUUCUCCCUGACUCCUUGAGAGUCCUGAAGGAACGUUGAAGACGACGACGUUGAUAGGCCGGGUGUGUAAGCGCAGCGAUGCGUUGAGCUAACCGGUACUAAUGAACCGUGAGGCUUAA
rnacentral:rRNA from 1 species